rnacentral:tRNA from 1 species
GCCUUCGUGGUGUAGUGGUCAGCACGCUCGACGCGUAUUCGAGAGGUCCGUGGUUCGAGACCUGGCGAGGGCA